rnacentral:rRNA from 1 species
UACGGGGGGGGCAAGCGUUGUUCGGAAUUACUGGGCGUAAAGGGCUCGUAGGCGGCCAACUAAGUCAGACGUGAAAUCCCUCAGCUUAACUGGGGAACUGCGUCUGAUACUGGAUGGCUUGAGAUUGGGAGAGGGAUGCGGAAUUCCCGGUGUAGCGGUGAAAUGCGUAGAUAUCGGGAGGAACAUCAGUGGCGAAGGCGGCCUUCUGGUCCAGUACUGACACUCAAGUGCGAAAGCGUGGGGAGCAAACAGG